rnacentral:lncRNA from 1 species
AGGAAACUUCCAGAGACAGAGCUGUCUGGCCUGGCAUCCAGGGACUGAGCCUACUGUAGAGUUACAUCCUCCAGAAGCAGGAAACGUAUGGAAUCAUUUGAGCUUAAGAGACUGUGACAUUUUUAUAGAAUGAAAGGAGUAACUGAGAGAUACAGUGACAGAGCUGGGAGCUGCAGCUGGCUGGCUGUUCCAUGGAGCAUUCCCUUCAUAGAUUUUUAUGACUCUCCUAGCCCUAAUAUUAAACACUUGACCUUUUUGUCAAAUACUAUUUUAUAUUAUUAGGUUGGAUGAUUAGUUACUAAAUAUACCAUCUAUAGUAAAUAGGAAAUUGUGUAGUCUGAUGCUUUUAGUCUUAGACCUUUCAGGUAUUGGUCCUUUGGCAUUUAACAUUACAACAUUGAGUGCUCUUAUAUUAAGUCCCUUGGUAAGCAAGAAGUGCACAGCACUUUCACAUAGGGCAGAGGAGUUUCUGAAGCAGAAUUACCAGAGUGGAGAAUGCUGUAAACAUUGUAAAGUCAGGGAUAACUAGGAGCCAGCUGUUGCUGAACAAUGCACCUUAAUCUACAGCCUAGGAAUAAGAGCAUUUACUUUUUAAAAUUCUAUAAACCAGAACUUUGUAAAUGCCUCUUCCCUGUACCUCUCUCCCUGGUGAACAAUUCUAUCCAUCCCCUCCCUUAUCACAUGCAAAAUAGUACUGAUGUUAGAAGCAGAAUUAAUAAUUGGCUUUUUUACCUCUCCCUCCCAGCACUUCAUGCCCUGUUUUGGGAAACCCUGCUGCAAGCCACUCCCUCCCAUAAAUCCCACCUCAAAUAUUUGGAUUUAAAGAUGCCCUCUGUGUUGCUUACUUCACCUCUUGGCACACACCAGUGCAGUGACAUGUGACAACAUGAGGCUUAGGGCAGUUCCUAGUCAUUGCUUCCAGAAUGGGAAUGAGCCAGGAUUCCUCCACUGUCCUGAACAACACCAACCUGCAAUGGUGGAGCUUCAGCAGCUGAGGAUUUUCUCCCCAGGCAUCAUACAGAUAUUUGCCGAUCCCAGAAAGCCACAGAACAAGAAAGACUGGUUACAGGCCCAGCAAUCCCACCUGUUAGAUGUUUCAUUUGUAUUACCCAAUACAGUGGGUAUUCAAAGCCUUAAACAUUCAGUCCUUGAUUACAGGAUAUAUCUCUGCAGCACAGGACAACACUGAGAGGGCUUUUCUGGCCUAAUCAGAAGAAUCAGCACAUACCUGAUUAUCUCAGUGCUUUGCUCCCAGCUGUUAUAUGAAACUUGUGAACCCACCUG